rnacentral:rRNA from 1 species
UGUCGAUGAAGAGCGCAGCAAACUGUGGGAAUUCAUGUGAACUGCAUGCUCAUUUGAACAUCGACAUCUUGAACGCACAUUGCGGCCACGGGUUAGCCCGUGGCUACGUCUGUUCGAGGUUCG